CCUACGGGAGGCAGCAGUGGGGAAUUUUGGACAAUGGGGGCAACCCUGAUCCAGCAAUGCCGCGUGAGUGAAGAAGGCCUUCGGGUUGUAAAGCUCUUUUGUCAGGGAAGAAACAGCAGCUCUAACACAGACUGCGAAUGACGGUACCUGAAGAAUAAGCACCGGCUAACUACGUGCCAGCAGCCGCGGUAAUACGUAGGGUGCGAGCGUUAAUCGGAAUUACUGGGCGUAAAGCGUGCGCAGGCGGUUAUACAAGACAGGCGUGAAAUCCCCGGGCUUAACCUGGGAAUGGCGUCUGUGACUGUAUAGCUAGAGUGUGUCAGAGGGGGGUGGAAUUCCACGUGUAGCAGUGAAAUGCGUAGAUAUGUGGAGGAACACCAAUGGCGAAGGCAGCCCCCUGGGAUAACACUGACGCUCAUGCACGAAAGCGUGGGGAGCAAACAGGAUUAGAUACCCUGGUAGUCCACGCCCUAAACGAUGCUGACUAGUUGUUGGGAAUUUACAUUCUCAGUAACGUAGCUAAACGCGUGAAGUCAGCCGCCUGGGGAGUUACGGUCGCAAGAUUAAAACUUCAAAGGAAUUGACGG
rnacentral:rRNA from 1 species